UACGUAGGGGGCUAGCGUUGUCCGGAAUCAUUGGGCGUAAAGAGCGCGUAGGCGGCUAGAUAAGUCCGGUGUGAAAGUCACAGGCUCAACCUGUGAAUGCCGCUGGAAACUGUCUGGCUAGAGUCCGGAAGGGGCGAGUGGAAUUCCUGGUGUAGCGGUGAAAUGCGCAGAUAUCAGGAAGAACACCUAUGGCGAAGGCAGCUCUCUGGGACGGUACUGACGCUGAGACGCGAAAGCGUGGGGAGCGAACAGG
rnacentral:rRNA from 1 species